ACUAUGUGUUGUUGGGUAGGGGAGCGUUCUGUAAGCCUGUGAAGGUGUGUCGUGAGGCAUGCUGGAGGUAUCAGAAGUGCGAAUGCUGACAUAAGUAACGAUAAAGCGGGUGAAAAGCCCGCUCGCCGGAAGACCAAGGGUUCCUGUCCAACGUUAAUCGGGGCAGGGUGAGUCGACCCCUAAGGCGAGGCCGAAAGGCGUAGUCGAUGGGAAACGGGUUAAUAUUCCCGUACUUGGUGUUACUGCGAAGGGGGGACGGAGAAGGCUAUGUUGGCCGGGCGACGGUUGUCCCGGUUUAAGCGUGUAGGUGUGUGUUCCAGGUAAAUCCGGUUCACUUUAACACUGAGGCGUGACGACGAGGCACUACGGUGCUGAAGCAACAAAUGCCCUGCUUCCAGGAAAAGCCUCUAAGCAUCAGGUAACAUCAAAUCGUACCCCAAACCGACACAGGUGGUCAGGUAGAGAAUACCAAGGCGCUUGAGAGAACUCGGGUGAAGGAACUAGGCAAAAUGGUGCCGUAACUUCGGGAGAAGGCACGCUGACACGUAGGUGAAGUGAUUUACUCAUGGAGCUGAAGUCAGUCGAAGAUACCAGCUGGCUGCAACUGUUUAUUAAAAACACAGCACUGUGCAAACACGAAAGUGGACGUAUACGGUGUGACGCCUGCCCGGUGCCGGAAGGUUAAUUGAUGGGGUCAGCGCAAGCGAAGCUCCUGAUCGAAGCCCCGGUAAACGGCGGCCGUAACUAUAACGGUCCUAAGGUAGCGAAAUUCCUUGUCGGGUAAGUUCCGACCUGCACGAAUGGCGUAAUGAUGGCCAGGCUGUCUCCACCCGAGACUCAGUGAAAUUGAACUCGCUGUGAAGAUGCAGUGUACCCGCGGCAAGACGGAAAGACCCCGUGAACCUUUACUAUAGCUUGACACUGAACAUUGAGCCUUGAUGUGUAGGAUAGGUGGGAGGCUUUGAAGUGUGGACGCCAGUCUGCAUGGAGCCGACCUUGAAAUACCACCCUUUAAUGUUUGAUGUUCUAACGUGGACCCGUGAUCCGGGUUGCGGACAGUGUCUGGUGGGUAGUUUGACUGGGGCGGUCUCCUCCUAAAGAGUAACGGAGGAGCACGAAGGUUGGCUAAUCCUGGUCGGACAUCAGGAGGUUAGUGCAAUGGCAUAAGCCAGCUUGACUGCGAGCGUGACGGCGCGAGCAGGUGCGAAAGCAGGUCAUAGUGAUCCGGUGGUUCUGAAUGGAAGGGCCAUCGCUCAACGGAUAAAAGGUACUCCGGGGAUAACAGGCUGAUACCGCCCAAGAGUUCAUAUCGACGGCGGUGUUUGGCACCUCGAUGUCGGCUCAUCACAUCCUGGGGCUGAAGUAGGUCCCAAGGGUAUGGCUGUUCGCCAUUUAAAGUGGUACGCGAGCUGGGUUUAGAACGUCGUGAGACAGUUCGGUCCCUAUCUGCCGUGGGCGCUGGAGAACUGAGGGGGGCUGCUCCUAGUACGAGAGGACCGGAGUGGACGCAUCACUGGUGUUCGGGUUGUCAUGCCAAUGGCACUGCCCGGUAGCUAAAUGCGGAAGAGAUAAGUGCUGAAAGCAUCUAAGCACGAAACUUGCCCCGAG
rnacentral:rRNA from 1 species